UACGAAGGGGGCUAGCGUUGUUCGGAUUUACUGGGCGUAAAGCGCACGUAGGCGGAUCUUUAAGUCAGCGGUGAAAUCCCAAGGCUCAACCUUGGAACUGCCUUUGAUACUGGGGAUCUCGAGUUCGGGAGAGGUGAGUGGAACUGCGAGUGUAGAGGUGAAAUUCGUAGAUAUUCGCAAGAACACCAGUGGCGAAGGCGGCUCACUGGCCCGAUACUGACGCUGAGGUGCGAAAGCGUGGGGAGCAAACAGG
rnacentral:rRNA from 1 species